GUGGGGUUUCGGCCCCAUUGAGAUAGCACCCUUUGUUUAUGAGUACCCUUGUUUCCUCGGUGGGCUUGCCCGCCAUGAGGACAUCAAAAACCCUUUGUAGUAGCAGUAACUUCAGUUAAUAAUAAAUAUUAAAACUUUCAACAACGGAUCUCUUGGUUCU
rnacentral:misc_RNA from 1 species